CCUACGGGAGGCAGCAGUGGGGAAUAUUGCACAAUGGGGGAAACCCUGAUGCAGCGAUGCCGCGUGGAGGAAGAAGGUUUUCGGAUUGUAAACUCCUGUCUUUAAAGGACGAUAAUGACGGUACUUUAGGAGGAAGCUCCGGCUAACUACGUGCCAGCAGCCGCGGUAAUACGUAGGGAGCGAGCGUUGUCCGGAAUUACUGGGUGUAAAGGGAGCGUAGGCGGGAGUGCAAGUCAGGUGUGAAAACUAUGGGGCUCAACCCAUAGACUGCACUUGAAACUGCAUUUCUUGAGUGAAGUAGAGGUGAGCGGAAUUCCUGGUGUAGCGGUGAAAUGCGUAGAUAUCAGGAGGAACACCGGUGGCGAAGGCGGCUUACUGGGCUUUUACUGACGCUGAGGCUCGAAAGCGUGGGGAGCAAACAGGAUUAGAUACCCUGGUAGUCCACGCUGUAAACGAUGAUUACUAGGUGUGGGGGGACUGACCCUUCCGUGCCGCAGUUAACACAAUAAGUAAUCCACCUGGGGAGUACGGCCGCAAGGUUGAACUUAAAUGAAUUGACGG
rnacentral:rRNA from 1 species